rnacentral:lncRNA from 1 species
CCGGUCCCUGCCCCCUUUGUGACCUCAUACAAAGGCUUGGCUAGUAAUGCAAAGUUUGGGAUCCACAGGCUACAAAACCCCACAGCUCCUAAGAAUUCUCUAACCUGCCUUCUGCUCUUAAGCUCCGGUAGAUUGCAAAUAACCUGCUUUCUUUCUGUUCCCCAGCUGCGUUCGGACCCCUGUCGGAUAGGAAAUCCCAAGUAAGGUACCUGCCAUCGGCAGAUUUGAGCUUUCUUCUUGGACACCUGAUACCCACAGUCCUCCAGGGCUCCGGUAGAUUGCAAAUAACCUGCUUUCUUUCUGUUCCCGGGCUGCCUUCGGAACCCUGUGGGAGAGUAAAUCCCUAGUAAGGUACCUGCCGUUGACAGAUUUGAGCUUUCUUCUUGGACACCUAAUACCCACAGUCCUCCAGGUGGGU